CCUGGCCCGUCGACUGCGCUGCAACCGAACCGAACCGAACCUUGUGUCAAAGUGAACGGCAAAUAUUAUUUUUUGGACACUUUGCCAUCAGGUCGCCGUCGCGUCGCCCGGAGCUACUACAUCUCGUCCUGCUCCCCGUUUUGUAUCCAUUGUCCUGCGGAGCUCCUGGAGUUCCUGUUGUCGCAUUCGAGGUCCGACUGUGGGUCCCAAAGCCACGGCCUUUUGUUGGCGUUGCACCAAUUGUGUUUAAUUGAAACCGACAACAAAAGCCAGAAACGCUGCAAAAGAGAACCCAAAAGAAUCCCAAAAAGUAUACCCAAAGUAUAAAAAGAAAAUGAACGAAGUGGCUGUAAAUCAAAAGGAGCCGGUUCGGGUUCGUUUGUUGCCAAAAAUACAAGAAUUAAUUAUAAUAAUGACAAAGAACAAGCACUUUGACCCCACUCCGUGUCCGCAUUCGCAUCCGAAUCCGCGCGCGUUCGUUUGGCCAAUUGUGAAUGUGGAUUACAAUUUCGCGUGUGCGAGUUGAGGAAAAAAUGGAAUAAGGAAAGAAAAAAUGGAAAAAAUGAAUUUACCAGCAUUUCCGCCUUGCGGUUUGCCAUCCAAAGGGACAGUGGUGCAGCUUUUGGACCGGGCUCCCUCGAGUGCGCGGGGCGUGACUUCAAUUAAAGUGAUUUGUGGCCUCCGUUUCUGACAUACGAGACGUAAAUAGCGGCCCUGAAUUAUGGUGCUGCUAAAAUAUGUAUAUUGGAACAUAGUCCUCGGCCCACCGGACAAACACUCGCAAGUCACGCAUCUUGAAAACGCCUCCAAGUUGGCUAAUUGAAGGCUCCUCACUUGAGCUACCAAAAUCCCCAAACAAAAUGCCGUCGGCUGAAUCGAAAAUGUCGGCCAUACGAAUUCGCUGCGAAGAAGAAGUGGAUUUAGUGGAGAGCCAUGUUGGCCAAGCCGAAGAAAAAAAAAAAGAGGAUAAAAGAGCGGAAUGCCGUUGGAAUGCGGGAGAAUUGGGCUGCGCCGGCGACGCCGGCAGCGCUGCCUCCGCAUUUCAAUGGUUGCCUAGCGACAGCGGCAGCGGCAGCCAUCAUGGAUGUGAAAGAGAGCGUGCUCGCCGCCCGCUCUCCCUCUCUCGCUCGUGCCAACGGCCAUUCGGCAUUCAUAUUCCAGGGCGGCCAUGCUGCUCUGCUCGCCACUCACCUGCGACGUCGGCAGUUGUGAAGUUCUUGCGACGUGAGCGACCGAAUUUCGGGGCACCCGAAAAACCAGAGGCUCGGAAGACAGGAUUGUGAGCGAGAGGGGGCAGGAGAAUUUCGCGCCUGCGUCGAAGCCCAAAAAAAAGGAAAAUGCUGAAACAAAGACCGAGAAUCGAAGGAAGUUGCCCAGGUUGUAUUACACAUCGACCCCUGCUGCGACCACUUAACCCGACGCCAGCUGCUUCAGUUCUUCGAGCGACUUGCAGAUGGAUACUCUGGGCACUCGUCUGCGUCUUCGCGUGUGUUUGUGUGUUUUUAUAACAUUUGUGGAUUACGCCUAUAAAAACUACACCUCACCGCGGAGCCAGCGGAGGGCACCAGCUACCACAAAAGGGAACUAGAUUUUUAAGAACCGCCAGAAUCACCCGAGUCGUCGUCUCCGGAAUCCCCGGAAUCAUGAGAACUAUCUUCAUCUUCAUGACCUUCAAUUGUGAUACACAGCGAGAUUAUGAAGAGACUUAUGCACAAAACGUCUUGUCCUAGACACAGGGCACCCAUUGUAUAUUCACCCAUUUCGUAUUGUCCAUCGAUCAACUUUUGAAUGUUAAACAAGGAGGGAAUGCUGGCAAAAAUCGCAUACAUAAUUAUAUGAACACCGAAGAUAAAAAAGCCAUUCUCACCAAAAGGGGCGCGUACACAAUAGGCCUGCCGUAUAAAGUGCCAUCAAUAUGUUUAUGUUUGAGGACCUCUGAAAUAUUCGAGGAUCAAAACACAUCAUUAAAUUAAUUGCGUACAUGCAAAUUAAGGCACCAAUAAUAGAUUUAUAAUUUUUUGAGGAUGAGUAUGUUGAGCCUUCAUAAAAUAGUCCCGAAAAUGCUGAUGCUAAAGUUAUUAUCAGGCUUAUCUGUAAUGAAAAGGAUUGU